UACGGAGGGUGCAAACGUUGCUCGGAAUCAUUGGGCGUAAAGCGCACGUAGGCGGCCCAGCAAGUCGGGUGUGAAAGCCCUCGGCUUAACCGAGGAAGUGCAUUCGAAACUACUGAGCUUGAAUACUGGAGAGGAUCGCGGAAUUCCCGGUGUAGCGGUGAAAUGUGUAGAGAUCGGGAGGAACACCGGUGGCGAAGGCGGGUCUCUGGGCAAUUCCUGACGCUGAGGCGCGAAAGCGUGGGGAGCAAACGGG
rnacentral:rRNA from 1 species